UUUUACAGUAAAUUCGCGGCUUUCCUUAUAGAUAAAAAGUUAUUUAUUAACAAGGGGCACCGGGAAAACUGUUAAUUUGUGACCAUUAUUUUGUAUAGCAGUGUCGUCUGUCCAGUUAGAGGUAUGUUCUCUGUAUUAUUAGACUUAUUUAUAUUUUUAAUUUUAAUUUAUUAGAGUUGUUACCGGAGUUGUUCUUAAUGUUAAAGUUUUCAUUUUAAAGUUGUAAAUGUGAUCUAUUUAUUGUAUUUGUGUUCCUUUGAGAUUGGUAUUUUUGUUGCAUUUUUUAAUUAAUAUAUGAUUUUAGUAUGUACGUUUAGUUACUUGUAAUUACUUCUUUGUAUAUCAACAAAUCGUGUUAAACCAAGCAUUGUGUAACAUUGAGCACUAAAUUAACUAACUAUUUAAAAUGUGUAAUAGUCAAUAUAAAUCAGUGAUUUAUUUUUUCAACAAGUUCUUGUAUACGUUGAGUAGGGAUGAUUGAUACCUAUGUAAAUGGUUUAGCCAAAGCAAAUGAUGGCAUAUCGUGACGCAUCACGUGGUACAACUGACUUAAUCAUAGUUACGCUUUACUUUUUCAAUUGUGUCUUUUUCUAUCUCGUCCAAUGAACAAAAUGUCUUCAAUUAUUUAAACAACAAUCCUGUCGCACAAGAUUCAAUAAAACACAAGAUCUCCAUAACUCUUGUCGGUUGCGGCUCAUCGUAUGGCAGUUUGCUGUGUAGUUUUGCCAGCUGCCUAGCGAAGGGCAACAAAUGACUGAGUUGUUCAACGGUACAACAACAACAACACUUCGGAAUCUUCGAGAAUCGACGCUGCAAGUUCAGAAAACUGGAAGAAACUGGAAAAGGAAGCUUUAAGUACUUAAAUAAGAGACUACUGCAAGGGUGCUGGACCACCUCUCAAUGUGGUAGCCGUUGUGGAAGCGGGAUAGCGAAAUACACAGCCUAUAGCGGCGUCUCUUUUCCACAACUGAAACAGUGGUACCUACUUGAACAAAUUCCUGUCAUAUUUUGUUAAGCUGUGCUUUGUUUUUAAGUCUUAUUGUAAAGUUAUUAAAGUCCUAAUCAAUUGUUUUAGCUACAGGUUGAAUUCAUUAGCCUUUAAUGUGUAACCCAUAGAAAUAUUAAUAAUAUUAUCUUAUUAUUUAGAUUUCUAUGGUGUAACCUAAUUUUAAGAUCGUAACGUGGAUUGUGAUAAAAGCAGCAUGCAGCCUAACAGCAAAUUAAAUUUAUAUAAACUAGGCGCAUAAAUAUAAUAGGUUUUUGGGUUUGCGUUUGGGUAUAAAAACAUAAACACUUUUAUAUUCAAAAAUUACAUGCGUAAUAACGUAAAUGAGCUUUUUAUAACGUUAUCAGCAGAUAUGACCGCUGUAACGGUCACCGACCAUGUAGUUUUAAACAGAUGAACACGGUUUGUCGUUUUAAAUAUUGAUUUAAAUAAAACCUACUUACUUCUCGGUACUUUCUUAGUACUUUAAAAUAUUAGGUACUUUUAUAAUGUUUUGUAAAUAUUUAUUGGCUGUAUGUAGAUAACAGUGUCAUGGUGCUAUAGUGGAAAAAAAGAAUGGAGAUUAUCGACUAUUUUUUGUAUUCUGUAUAUCGUUAACAUUUAUUUGUGAUAUAAAUUGCGUUAGUUUCAGUUAUGUGUACCUACAUAUAGCACGUUAAAACGGUUUCAAUGACAAUAAACUUCUUUUUUAACUUUAAAAUAAUGCAGUUUCUGGAGAUAACAUCUUAAGCGAGAUAGAAACAUUACAGGUAAUUUGAUCGUUCUUUUUUUAAUUAACUUCUUUACAAUGUGCUUUAAAGUAAAUUACUCGUAUCUAACGUAAUUAUCGUAAUCCACCUACACUAUCUGAAUUUUUAGUCGUCAGUUGCUAUGAUGGAAAACAUAUUAUUCAGCUUAAUCAUUCAAACGCUUUGUACCGUAAAAUAUGACAACGGUCAUAUUCGUUUUAAAGUACGACUUCGAUUGCGAAGAAUCACUUCCGGAGCUAGAGGUGUCUGAGGUUUUCUACCUCCUGGCUCCAUCGCUAUCGUCUUAUCGUAUCUUAAGCAUGACGUUAGAGUUGGCCCACGACCUUACUGAGCUUCGGGUGUCUUUUAAUGCAAAGACAAAGUGACAUUUACCUACAUAAAUUUGAGCAGAAUAGUUUACAUUCAGCAAAAUCAUAGCACUCGAGACUAUUUUGCCCAAGAGGGGACCCCCCUUGGGCAAAAUUCAAACAAUAUCGGUUAACGAGAUCAAGGUAUUUGGGCCAUGGCCAGGAGUGAUUCAGCUAGGAGUUUAGCUAGUCAAGUUUAACUUUGUCCAUAUUACAUUUUCAAUAGGUCACCAAAAACGACACUCUUUGAUUAUAGCACAGAAGAAAAAUUAAAAAAAUAUAUUGCACGCAGAAAUUAAAAAAACCCGAUCAAAUAAUCUAUAACUGUCAGAUGUCAAACCUCAAAAAUGAUACUAGUGCAAAAUUUCAUAAUAUAAAAUUUUCCGUUUAAAAAGAUGUGAUCAAACCGGAUUGAAGCACUCAGCAAAUACAUAAACAUGUACACAUUUACGAUAGACAUGGGUUAGGGCUUACGAUGUUUGGUAAACAGAAAUCGGAACAGACAGGGCCAAUCAAAGAUCUGAGUUGUUGCUGCCCGCCUGGCGAGGCGAGCGCUAACACCUUCAACCAAUCCAUCUCUAACAACACCCUUUGCCCUGCUAGCCCUUUGGCCUGGCUCAAUGACCCUAAGAACGCCCAGUUGUUGGCGGCCGGACUUGCCGCCUUACUCUUACUGAUUCUGUUAUAUUGGAUGUUCAGUAGUAAGGGAGGGGACAUGGGCUGCAGGUCAUCAUGCCGGUGCGCCUGCUCGUGGGGCAUCGUCUCAUGCCGCUGCCGCUGAAUUGAUGACUGUCUUCAGAAAUAUCUGACAAUAUCAAUAAUUUCGCUCACCUCUCUCUUGCCUAUUUCCGGAAUAAAAUAAAUGGAACCAUUGGCCAGAUAAUGUAAAUGUUGACCGACAAUAGUUUUAACGAAACGAACGCAACAUUAAACGUUACAGAAAA